rnacentral:tRNA from 2 species
GGCGCUAUCGUCUAGAGGUCUAGGACACGUGGUUCUCAGCCACGAAACCGGGGUUCGAAUCCCCGUAGCGUCACCA